CCUACGGGAGGCAGCAGUGGGGAAUUUUGGACAAUGGGGGCAACCCUGAUCCAGCCAUUCCGCGUGAGUGAAGAAGGCCUUCGGGUUGUAAAGCUCUUUUGUCCGGAGCGAAACGGGCGGCCCUAAUACGGUCGUCUACUGACGGUACCGGAAGAAUAAGCACCGGCUAACUACGUGCCAGCAGCCGCGGUAAUACGUAGGGUGCGAGCGUUAAUCGGAAGUAGUGGGCGUUGUAAGUGAGAUGUGAAUUCCCCGGGAUCAAGCUGGGAAUGGCAUUUGGGACUGCAAGGCUGGAGUGUGGCAGAGGGGAGUAGAAUUCCUGGUGUAGCAGUGAAAUGCGUAGAGAUCAGGAGGAAUACCGAUGGCGAAGGCAGGUCCCUGGGUUAACACUGACGCUCAUGCACGAAAGCGUGGGGAGCAAACAGGAUUAGAUACCCUAGUAGUC
rnacentral:rRNA from 1 species